AUUGAACGCUGGCGGCAGGCCUAACACAUGCAAGUCGAGCGGAUGAAGGGAGCUUGCUCCUGGAUUCAGCGGCGGACGGGUGAGUAAUGCCUAGGAAUCUGCCUGGUAGUGGGGGAUAACGUCCGGAAACGGGCGCUAAUACCGCAUACGUCCUGAGGGAGAAAGUGGGGGAGCUUCGGACCUCACGCUAUCAGAUGAGCCUAGGUCGGAUUAGCUAGUUGGUGGGGUAAAGGCCUACCAAGCCGACGAUCCGUAACUGGUCUGAGAGGAUGAUCAGUCACACUGGAACUGAGACACGGUCCAGACUCCUACGGGAGGCAGCAGUGGGGAAUAUUGGACAAUGGGCGAAAGCCUGAUCCAGCCAUGCCGCGUGUGUGAAGAAGGUCUUCGGAUUGUAAAGCACUUUAAGUUGGGAGGAAGGGCAGUAAGUUAAUACCUUGCUGUUUUGACGUUACCAACAGAAUAAGCACCGGCUAACUUCGUG
rnacentral:rRNA from 1 species